rnacentral:rRNA from 1 species
UACGUAGGGGGCAAGCGUUGUCCGGAUUUAUUGGGCGUAAAGAGCGUGUAGGCGGCCAUACAGGUCAGCUGUGAAAACUCGAGGCUCAACCUCGAGACGUCGGUUGAAACCGUAUGGCUAGAGUCCGGAAGAGGAGAGUGGAAUUCCCGGUGUAGCGGUGAAAUGCGCAGAUAUCGGGAAGAACACCUAUGGCGAAGGCAGCUCUCUGGGACGGUACUGGACGCUGAGACGCGAAAGCGUGGGGAGCGAAACAGG